rnacentral:rRNA from 1 species
AUUGAACGCUGGUGGCAGGCCUAACACAUGCAAGUCGAGCGGCAGCGGGAAAGUAGCUUGCUACUUUUGCCGGCGAGCGGCGGACGGGUGAGUAAUGCCUGGGAAAUUGCCCAGUCGAGGGGGAUAACAGUUGGAAACGACUGCUAAUACCGCAUACGCCCUACGGGGGAAAGCAGGGGACCUUCGGGCCUUGCGCGAUUGGAUAUGCCCAGGUGGGAUUAGCUAGUUGGUGAGGUAAUGGCUCACCAAGGCGACGAUCCCUAGGCUGGUCUGAGAGGAUGAUCAGCCACACUGGAACUGAGACACGGUCCAGACUCCUACGGGAGGCAGCAGUGGGGAAUAUUGCACAAUGGGGGAAACCCUGAUGCAGCCAUGCCGCGUGUGUGAAGAAGGCCUUCGGGUUGUAAAGCACUUUCAGCGAGGAGGAAAGGUCAGUAGCUAAUACCUGCUGGCUGUGACGUUACUCGCAGAAGAAGCACCGGCUAACUCCGUGCCAGCCGCCGCAGUAAAAC